UCAGAGCUCUUUGAAAGAUGACUGUACAGAUAAAAGCAUAGAAAGCCUUGAUGAGGGAAAGACAGUAUUAAUGAAGGAAGCAAUUGGAGAAGAAGCAAAGGAUGCAUUGGUUUCAAUUUCGAAGACAUGCAAGCUUUUGAAGUCAAUCUCAAGAACCAGAAACCGGGGUUGUUGUGGAUGAGGAUGGAAAACUAGAAGACAGAGUUGGAGUGGCCUUGAAAUGUCUUCCAAACUAUGAUCCUGCUACCUGUAUGUUCGAAACAGUUUAAAGCUGCAACGGAAUCACCCCCCUAUACAGAAAGUGUGUGCGUAGGAUUGGAGCAUGCACACUCUUUUUUCCAGUUUCAAAGCGCAGAGACAGAGAGAGACUACACUUUGUUAGAUCGCAGGUUUUGUUCCUUGGUUUGGGUUGGACUCUAAGGGCUUCUGCUUUUUGUGUCCUUCCCCUGCUGCAUUGUGUUGUUAGAUUUGGUUUGGAUUGGAUUGUUUGUUUUAUAGGAUUCUCAGAAAUUGGUCAGUUGUAAAAGAACUGCAUUACUAGUAUUGAUUGUUUGUUUUUGGUUCAGAACACGUCAUAAUGGAAGAGAAGAUGAGAAUUGGAGGAGGGUUGCUUUUUGUAGUAGUGGCUGUUAAGAAAGUAAACGGCAUAAGACAGGAUGCUGAAAGAGAAUUUGAGAAUGAGGUGAACUGGUUGGGAAAAAUUCGGCAUCAAAACA